GAUGAAGAACGUAGCGAAACGCGAUAGGUAAUGUGAAUUGCAGAAUUCAGUGAAUCAUCGAAUCUUUGAACGCACAUUGCGCCCCUUGGUAUUCCGAGGGGCAUGCCUGUUCGAGCGUCAUUAUAACCCCUCAAGCUCAGCUUGGUGUUGGGGCCUGCUGCACUGGCAGCCCUUAAAAUCAGUGGCGGCGCCAUCUGGCUCUAAGCGUAGUAAUUCUUCUCGCUAUGGAGUCCUGGUGGAUGCUUGCCAUCAACCCCCAAUUUUUCUAUGGUUGACCUCGGAUCAGGUAGGGAUACCCGCUGAACUUAAGCAUAUCAAUAAGCGGAGGA
rnacentral:misc_RNA from 1 species